rnacentral:tRNA from 1 species
UCCCAGGUAGUCCAGUGGUUAGGACUCUGCACUUCCACUGAGGGGGGCACAGGUUUGAUCCCUGGUCAGGGAA